rnacentral:rRNA from 1 species
CGGAUGCGAUCAUACCAGCACUAAAGUACCGGAUCCCAUCAGAACUCCGAAGUUAAGCGUGCUUGGGCGAGAGUAGUACUAGGAUGGGUGACCUCCUCGGAAGUUCUCGUGUUGCAUCCCUC